rnacentral:tRNA from 1 species
AUGAUUAUGGCGGAACGGUAUACGCGAUUAACUUAGGAUUAAUUUUUUAUGGGUUCAAAUCCCAUUAAUCAUA